UACGGAGGAUCCAAGCGUUAUCCGGAUUCACUGGGUUUAAAGGGUGCGCAGGCGGGGCUUUAAGUCAGUGGUGAAAUCUCUUCGCUUAACGAAGAAACUGCCAUUGAUACUGAAGUUCUUGAAUCUAGUUGACGUUAGUGGAAUGUGUCAUGUAGCGGUGAAAUGCUUAGAUAUGACACAGAACACCGAUCGCGAAGGCAGCUAACGAAGCUAGUAUUGACGCUCAGGCACGACAGCAUGGGGAGCAAACAGG
rnacentral:rRNA from 1 species